rnacentral:rRNA from 1 species
AAAUUGAAGAGUUUGAUCAUGGCUCAGAUUGAACGCUGGCGGCAGGCCUAACACAUGCAAGUCGAACGGUAACAGGAAGCAGCUUGCUGCUUUGCUGACGAGUGGCGGACGGGUGAGUAAUGUCUGGGAAACUGCCUGAUGGAGGGGGAUAACUACUGGAAACGGUAGCUAAUACCGCAUAACGUCGCAAGACCAAAGAGGGGGACCUUCGGGCCUCUUGCCAUCGGAUGUGCCCAGAUGGGAUUAG